UACGGGGGGGGCAAGCGUUGUUCGGAAUUACUGGGCGUAAAGGGCGCGUAGGCGGCCUUCUAAGUCGGACGUGAAAUCCCUCGGCUUAACCGAGGAACUGCGUCCGAUACUGAAAGGCUUGAAUCCGGGAGAGGGAUGUGGAAUUCCAGGUGUAGCGGUGAAAUGCGCAGAUAUCAGGAGGAACACCGAUGGCGAAGGCAGCUCGCUGGGACGGUACUGACGCUGAGGCGCGAAAGCGUGGGGAGCAAACAGG
rnacentral:rRNA from 1 species